rnacentral:rRNA from 1 species
AUUGAACGCUGGCGGAAUGCUUUACACAUGCAAGUCGAACGGCAGCACGGGGGCAGCCCUGGUGGCGAGUGGCGAACGGGUGAGUAAUACAUCGGAACGUGCCCGGUCGUGGGGGAUAACGUAGCGAAAGUUACGCUAAUACCGCAUACGAUCUGAGGAUGAAAGCGGGGGACCUUCGGGCCUCGCGCGAUCGGAGCGGCCGAUGUCAGAUUAGGUAGUUGGUGGGGUAAAGGCCUACCAAGCCGACGAUCUGUAGCUGGUCUGAGAGGACGACCAGCCACACUGGGACUGAGACACGGCCCAGACUCCUACGGGAGGCAGCAGAGGGGAAUUUUGGACAAUGGGCGCAAGCCUGAUCCAGCCAUUCCGCGUGCAGGACGAAGGCCUUCGGGUUGUAAACUGCUUUUGUACGGAACGAAAAGGCUCUGGCUAAUACCUGGGGCUCAUGACGGUACCGUAAGAAUAAGCACCGGCUAACUACGUG